rnacentral:rRNA from 1 species
ACGCUCGACACCUAUGGGAGGCAGCAGUGGGGAAUAUUGCACAAUGGGGGAAACCCUGAUGCAGCGACGCCGCGUGAGCGAAGAAGUAUUUCGGUAUGUAAAGCUCUAUCAGCAGGGAAGAAACUGACGGUACCUGACUAAGAAGCACCGGCUAAAUACGUGCCAGCAGCCGCGGUAAUCUGAGGCGGGCUGGCAAGGC